rnacentral:lncRNA from 1 species
CCAUGAACUACGGCUUGCCAACAGUCUUUCAGACUGUGAACAUUAAAAAUUGUUUCCUUAAACCCAUAGCUUUUGCCCUUGAGGAACACAGUGAGGCAGAACCAACACAAUGAGGACUUACUGCUCACCUGAAUAUAUUCUGGGAGGACUGGAAGGACCUACCAGGUCAGAAAGCCUUGAGGAAACAUGGAGUUUCUGAAUCCUCUACCAUGUUCGCAAGUGAAGGAGAAACAUUUUCAUUCAGAUACCGAUUGAACAACACCUACCUAUGUACCUCCUAGUUCAUCUCUCUGCCUUUAGCCUUGGCCCCAGUGAUCCAGGCUCUACACUGCUAGUGCAAGAAUCUCAUGAAGACAGCAAAUCUGAUGAUGCCCAGACUCUGAGGAAAAUCUUUCAGUGCCAUCUGCAUGAGUUUACUAUUGCUGCUUUAACAAAUUACCACAAAUUUGGUGGCAUAAAACAAUUCAAAUUUUUUAUCUUACACUUCUAUAGGUUAAAAGUUUGACAUGGAUCUUACUGGGCUAGAAUCAAAAUGUUAGCAGGGCUGCGUUCCUUUUAUGGAGUCUCUAGAGAAGAAUCCAUCUCCUAGCGCCUUGCCCAGCUUCUACAUGAUGUCUGUAUUCUUUGAGUCAUAGCCUCUUCCUUCCCUUUAGCAAAAGCAGGUUGAGUUCUCACUCUGCCUCAUUCUGACUUCUACAUAGAAGGUUUUUUCUUUACUCGUUUUGUUCAUAGCUAUAUCCCCAGCACCUAGUAGAAAGUUUUUACUACAUGUUUGUUGAAUAAAUGAAAAAAAAUCAAAAACUUAAAAACAAUGUACUAAGUGUACUUAAUAAAUGCAGUUGUUCCACAUUCCCAU